GAUGAACGCUGGCGGCGUGCCUAAUACAUGCAAGUCGAGCGAACUGAUUAGAAGCUUGCUUCUAUGACGUUAGCGGCGGACGGGUGAGUAACACGUGGGCAACCUGCCUGUAAGACUGGGAUAACUUCGGGAAACCGAAGCUAAUACCGGAUAGGAUCUUCUCCUUCAUGGGAGAUGAUUGAAAGAUGGUUUCGGCUAUCACUUACAGAUGGGUCCGCGGUGCAUUAGCUAGUUGGUGAGGUAACGGCUCACCAAGGCAACGAUGCAUAGCCGACCUGAGAGGGUGAUCGGCCACACUGGGACUGAGACACGGCCCAGACUCCUACGGGAGGCAGCAGUAGGGAAUCUUCCGCAAUGGACGAAAGUCUGACGGAGCAACGCCGCGUGAGUGAUGAAGGCUUUCGGGUCGUAAAACUCUGUUGUUAAGGAAGAAUAAGUACAAGAGUAACUGCUUGUACCUUGACGGUACCUAACCAGAAAGCCACGGCUAACUACGUGCCAGCAGCCGCCGUAAAAC
rnacentral:rRNA from 1 species